UGUGGCUGCAGGGAGGAGACCGAGAAAACGCUGUUUUUCUGCACCAGCACUUCUCGUUGUCAAACCCCGACGAACAGUUUCGGUGAUUGUCAACACAAAACAUCUUUGAGGUCUUCGGCGAGUUUAUGUGAAUGACACCAACCCUUUUUCUGAGAGACAGCUUUGGACUGUGGGAGAACACCAGUGUGAUCACAGUCUGGGAACGGACACAUUAGCCCUACCCACCGUGC